rnacentral:rRNA from 1 species
GAUAACUGCCCUUAGAAGGAUGAUAACCUCGGGAAACUGAGGAUAAUACUCCAUAGGUGACAAGUGCUGGAAUGUCUGUCACNUAAAGGUGCUGUCGUUAUGUUCGACGGUUGCCGUCUAAGGAUAGAUCUGCGGCGGAUUAGGUUGAUGGCGAGGUAAAUGCUCACCAUGCCUACGAUCCGUACCGGCUAUGAGAGUAGGAGCCGGGAGAUGGGUACUGAGACACGGACCCGGGCCCUACGGGGUGCAGCAGGCGCGAAACCUCUACAAUGCACGAAAGUGUGAUAGGGGAACCCCGAGUGCUUCUGUAAAACAGGAGCUUUUGUAAUGUGUAAAAAGCAUUACGAAUAAAGGCUGGGUAAGACCGGUGCCAGCCUCCGCGGUAACACCGGCAGCUUAAGUGGUAGCCGUUAUUAUUGGACUUAAAGCGUACGUAGUCGGUUUGGCAAGUUCUCUGGUGAAAUCCUGCGGCUUAACUGUAGGGCUUGCAGAGAAUACUACCAGACUUGAGGUCGGGAAGGGUCAGGGGUAUUUAUAGGGUAGCAGUGAAAUGUGUUAAUCCUAUGAGGACCACCUGUGGCGAAGGCGCCUGACUGGAACGAGCCUGACGAUGAGGGACGAAAGCUAGGGGAGCAAACCGGAUCAGAUACCCGGGUAGUCCUAGCCGUAAACGAUGUGAGUUGAGUGUUGCAGGAAUCUUCGUGUUUCUGCAGUGUUGAAGGGAAACCGUUAAGCUCACCGUCUGGGGAGUAUGGUCGCA